rnacentral:tRNA from 1 species
GAGGGUAUAGCUCAGUGGUAGAGUAUGUGCUUAACAAAUGUAUGAGGUCCUGGGUUCACUCCCCAGUUCCUUCA